rnacentral:sRNA from 1 species
GCUGGGUGUUGUGGCGCAUUCCUGUAAUCCCAGCAGCUCAGAAGGCUGAGGCAGGAGGAUCUCGAGUUCAAAGCCAGCCUCACUUACUAAGCAACUGAGGUGCUAAGCAACUCAGUGAGACCCUGUCUCUA